rnacentral:snRNA from 1 species
UGUUUCUUAAAAUCCCAAAACAGGAUUGGGACGAUACAGAGAAGAUUAGCAUGGGCCUUGUACAAGGAUGACACACAGGGGCCAGGGAGAUGGCUCAGUAGGAU